CCUCCAACCUUAUUUUGUUUUUAGAAAAUAAUUGACUAACCAAACCCAAUUAUAAGGACUAGCUCAAGAACUUGAAAGUUGUUUUGAGUUCUAGAAGCUUAGCUAUGUCAAAAAUUAGAAAACUCUAGUGUUACCAAACCGUCCAACCACAGACCAAUGGGAAGCACUAAAAAUUACAUGGAUGAUCAUAAUAAAGUCAGGUGUAAUAAAUUGGUGUCUAAGUCAAAUGAGCUACUAUGCCAAGUCAUAUAGACUGCUUGGGUU
rnacentral:lncRNA from 1 species